CCUACGGGAGGCAGCAGUGGGGAAUAUUGGGCAAUGGGCGCAAGCCUGACCCAGCAACGCCGCGUGAAGGAAGAAGGCUUUCGGGUUGUAAACUACUUUUGACAGGGAAGAGUAGAAGACGGUACCUGUCGAAUAAGCCACGGCUAACUACGUGCCAGCAGCCGCGGUAAUACGUAGGUGGCAAGCGUUGUCCGGAUUUACUGGGUGUAAAGGGCGUGUAGCCGGGAAGACAAGUCAGAUGUGAAAUCCCGCGGCUCAACCGCGGAACUGCAUUUGAAACUGUUUUUCUUGAGUACCGGAGAGGUCAUCGGAAUUCCUUGUGUAGCGGUGAAAUGCGUAGAUAUAAGGAAGAACACCAGUGGCGAAGGCGGAUGACUGGACGGCAACUGACGGUGAGGCACGAAGGCCAGGGGAGCGAAAGGGAUUAGAUACCCCUGUAGUC
rnacentral:rRNA from 1 species